rnacentral:rRNA from 1 species
AAAUUGAAGAGUUUGAUCAUGGCUCAGAUUGAACGCUGGCGGCAGGCCUAACACAUGCAAGUCGAACGGUAACAGGAAGCAGCUUGCUGUUUCGCUGACGAGUGGCGGACGGGUGAGUAAUGUCUGGGAAACUGCCUGAUGGAGGGGGAUAACUACUGGAAACGGUGGCUAAUACCGCAUAACGUCGCAAGACC